rnacentral:misc_RNA from 1 species
UCCGGCUUGACGCCGGCAGUCCCCCGAGAGUCCUCAGCAUGACCUGUUAGUAACACGGGGCAAGGGUUGCGCUCGUUGCGGGACUUAACCCAACAUCUCACGACACUAGCUGACGACAGCCAUGCAGCACCUGUGCAUGGACUCCGAAGAGGGCCUGCCGUCUCUGGCAGGUUUCCCAUGCAUGUCAAGCCUAGGUAAGGUUCUUCGCGUUGCGUCGAAUUAAACCACAUGCUCCACCGCUUGUGCGGGCCCCCGUCAAUUCCUUUGAGUUUCAGCCUUGCGGCCGUACUCCCCAGGCGGGUCACUUAAUGCGUUAGCUACGACACCGAACCCGUCUAUAGGCCCGGCAUCUAGUGCCCAUCGUUUACGGCGUGGACUAC